AUAAUAGAUUUGAAUGUCAAUAUAGCAAAACAAAAUGAAAAUAAAUGAUAAAUUGUGAAAAGUAUUUGUGACAAGUGCAAAGGUCAAUGUGUUAUCAAGGAAAAAAAAGCUUCAAAGUGGUAAGAAAAACAAUAUCCUUGACAAAAAUGAGCAAAAUAGACAAAAAACUAAUACAUACAUAAAGGGUAUACAACUUCAUUAGUAUUAAAUUUAAAAUAAAAAUGAAAAACUAUUAUUUAAAGUUUUUUUCCUUAAUGUAAAUUGAUGAGACUGUGAUGAAAUGGUUCGAACUUUCGGGAAGCAAUUUGACAAAAUAAGCCGUAAUAAUAAAAACUACAUCCUUGAUCCUGCAAUUUUGCUUCUGGGGAUUUCAAUGAACAAUUUAAGGGUAUGUGUCAUGAUUAAGUUACACAGAUACUUAUAUCUCUUUUGUAUCACUUGUGUAUCUCUUAACAAACGUUUGUCUAUCCUCCUCCAUGAAUCUUU
rnacentral:lncRNA from 1 species